CGGAUGAACGCUAGCGGAAGGCUUAAUACAUGCAAGUCGAGCGGUAGGUGGCUUCGGCCAUUGAGAGCGGCGCACGGGUGAGUAACGCGUACAUGACCUGCCUGUCAGAAGGGGAUAGCCCUGGGAAACUGGGAUUAAUACCCUAUGGUAUUGAUAUUAUGAAUGAUAUCAAUUAAAGUUGAGGCGCUGACAGAUGGAUGUGCGUCUGAUUAGCUAGUUGGUAGGGUAACGGCCUACCAAGGCGACGAUCAGUAGGGGGCGUGAGAGCGUGGUCCCCCACACGGGUACUGAGACACGGACCCGACUCCUACGGGAGGCAGCAGUAAGGAAUAUUGGUCAAUGCCCGCAAGGGUGAACCAGCCAUUCCGCGUGGAGGAUGAAGGCCCUAUGGGUUGUAAACUUCUUUUAGAUGGGAAGAAAAUGCUAGAUGUAUCUGGUACUGACGGUACCAUCAGAAUAAGCACCGGCUAACUCCGUG
rnacentral:rRNA from 1 species